UACGAAGGGGGCUAGCGUUGCUCGGAAUUACUGGGCGUAAAGCGCACGUAGGCGGACCGAUAAGUCGGGGGUGAAAUCCUGGAGCUCAACUCCAGAACUGCCUCCGAAACUGCCGGCCUUGAGUUCGGGAGAGGUGAGUGGAACUGCGAGUGUAGAGGUGAAAUUCGUAGAUAUUCGCAAGAACACCAGUGGCGAAGGCGGCUCACUGGCCCGAUACUGACGCUGAGGUGCGAAAGCGUGGGGAGCAAACAGG
rnacentral:rRNA from 1 species